AAAUUGAAGAGUUUGAUCAUGGCUCAGAUUGAACGCUGGCGGCAGGCCUAACACAUGCAAGUCGAACGGUAACAGGAAUCAGCUUCUGAUUCGCUGACGAGUGGCGGACGGGUGAGUAAUGUCUGGGAAACUGCCUGAUGGAGGGGGAUAACUACUGGAAACGGUAGCUAAUACCGCAUAAUGUCGCAAGACCAAAAAGGGGGACCUUCGGGCCUCUUGCCAUC
rnacentral:rRNA from 1 species